UACGGAGGGGGCAAGCGUUGUUCGGAAUUACUGGGCGUAAAGGGCGCGUAGGCGGCCAAGUCAGUCAGGCGUGAAAGCCCAGGGCUCAACCCUGGAAUUGCGCUUGAUACUGCUUGGCUCGAGACCGGAAGAGGGUAGUGGAAUUCCCAGUGUAGAGGUGAAAUUCGUAGAUAUUGGGAAGAACACCAGUGGCGAAGGCGGCUACCUGGUCCGGAUCUGACGCUGAGGCGCGAAAGCGUGGGGAGCAAACAGG
rnacentral:rRNA from 1 species